rnacentral:rRNA from 1 species
UACGUAGGGUGCAAGCGUUGUCCGGAAUUAUUGGGCGUAAAGAGCUCGUAGGCGGUUUGUCGCGUCUGCUGUGAAAACUCGGGGCUUAACUCCGGGCCUGCAGUGGGUACGGGCAGACUAGAGUGCGGUAGGGGAGACUGGAAUUCCUGGUGUAGCGGUGAAAUGCGCAGAUAUCAGGAGGAACACCGGUGGCGAAGGCGGGUCUCUGGGCCGACACUGACGCUGAUGCGCGAAAGCUAGGGGAGCGAACGGG